rnacentral:lncRNA from 1 species
CUACAUGGCUCGUGAAUUCCAUGAUUCCAUUCAUAGGGAAAACUUACCUAUUUCUGUCGAAGGCAAAGGAGGUAUGGGAAGCAGUGAAAUAAACCUACGCUGAUGGAGAAAAUGCGUCACAAAUUUUUGAAAUUGGCAAAUCAAAUAGGGAGAAAGAGAGGUCACAGAUUAUUACUUGGAAAUGACUAAUUUGUGGCAAGAACUCGACCUUAGCCUUGACGAGGAAUGAGAUUGCCCCGAUGAUAAGGUGUGCUACAAGAAAAGGGUCGAAAAUGAGCUGGUCUAUGAAUUCCUUGUUGUUCUUAAUUGCGAAUUGGAUGAAGUAAAGGGGAUAAUCUUAGGCCAACGAUCCCUACCAUCUACUCGGAAAGCUUUUUCAAAAGUGAGAAGAGAUGAAACUCGUCGGAAAAUCAUGUUGAAGAGCGACGAUUCUGACAUCGUGAUGGAGCCUUUUGCGAUGGGGUCAAGACGAAAUUGACAUGGGUCUUCUAGUUACCGGCCAACUGGAUUGAAAAGAAAUAGUGGGCUUGCAAGUAAUG